GACCGAGCGAGAGAGAGAGGAGAGCUCGAGAGCUCGAGCAAGAGCGGGGCGAGGGCGAGAGGGAGAGCGAGAGCAGCUGUGCUGUGCGAGAAAUAGAGAGAGCAAGAGGCAGAGAAAGAGAGCACGAAGCUGAAUUCUGCGAACAAACUGGAUUCUACAAGCUCCAAUCUCCUCUAUUCUCCGUCUCUACUUUCUCUCUGUUUCUCUUCUUCCAUCCUUGUCCCAAUUUUCGGCGAACUCAUGUCGUGCGGCCAUCCUCACAGUGUCACGCC
rnacentral:lncRNA from 1 species